UGCAGCCGCGUGUGGGGGUAGUCUGCUCUUGAACCGUUAAACGGCUUUUAGCGCUGAACCUCAGGAGAAGGCACCUUGGGGGAGCGGUAUGCCCCGAGUGAAAGGACCUUGCUGCGCCGAGUAGUCCUUAUAGGCAAAAAUGUAACCCCCACUCGAGGUACUCUUCUAGUAGUACACCUCAAGAGAAGACUGUGGAAGCCUCAGAAGUUACUCGAGAAGAAAUUGUGCUUCCACGAAGGAAAACCUGGGAUAAGCUAGCGGUUCUUCAAGCACUGGCUUCUACAGUGAACAGGGUAAGUAGUUCUGUUAAGAUCAUGCAAGUAGGCUGAGUUUUCCAUCUCACGUGUUGGACUGUCACUGAAAAGGAUCUGAUUUCUGCCUUGACCAUAAAAGAAAAAUGGAACUUUUACACCAGAUUGCACAGGGUUUUUACUUUCGCUUAGCGCUCUUUGCUGUGUCCUUUAAGCCUCGUUCUAAUACUAAACAAAAGC
rnacentral:lncRNA from 1 species